GGGGGGAUACCAAAGUGGCCAACUGGGGCAGACUGUAAAUCUGUUGUCGUACGACUUCGGAGGUUCGAAUCCUCCUCCCCCCA
rnacentral:tRNA from 1 species